UACGUAGGGGGCAAGCGUUGUCCGGAAUCAUUGGGCGUAAAGCGCGUGUAGGCGGUCCGGUAAGUCCGCUGUGAAAGUCGAGGGCUCAACCCUCGAAUGCCGGUGGAUACUGUCGGGCUUGAGUACGGGAGAGGCGAGUGGAAUUCCUGGUGUAGCGGUGAAAUGCGCAGAUAUCAGGAAGAACACCCGUGGCGAAAGCGGCUCUCUGGAACGGUACUGACGCUGAGACGCGAAAGCGUGGGGAGCGAACAGG
rnacentral:rRNA from 1 species